CCUGAAAGCCUGGCAGGCCACCCUCCUUCCGCUGCAUUUGGUCCAUACACUGAGGGUCUCAGUGGGGAAAAAGCAGAGUCAUUUUAAAGAAACAUGGAUCCUAGUUUCUAGAAGGUUUUUCCCCAUCUGGCAGACAAAGUUUAUGCCUAUUCCACACACAGUUCUGGAGGCUGGGAGCUUCAAGAUCAAGGUGCAGGCAGAUUCAUUUCCUGGCCCUCAUGUGUGAUGUUCUCCUCCCUGUAUCCCAGCGGAUUAAGAUGCUCAUUUCUUAAAAUUCAGGGGAAAGAUGGAUACUGCCGGUUCCAUGGCCCAGGGUUGUGGAAGAGGCGGCCUCCGGAUGACUGGAUGCACUUCUCCCUGGGACUCACCCUGUGUCGUUACAGCUCGAGCUUACUGAAAAUAAAAGAGAGACACCUCCACUCGUCCCCUCCAACAGAGUGGCUGCACCGGCAGCUCUCUAAUGAGUUCUAACUCCAGAGGGGCAGUUAUGAAACUGAUGCAAAAAGGAUAAAAUCAAGAUAGAAGUCAGUAAGGAGCACGAAGGCAUGAGUAAGACUUGCAUCAGAGAGCGGCCAAAACUCAAAAUGCGCUGGGGGUUGUGGGAGCGGCUGAAGAGCCUGGAGAAGCCGCUUAUGGUCAUUUUAAGUCAGAUCAAAGGAGUGUGUUUGGCUGACGAGAGGACCCCAUGGUUGCACGCAUGGAGCCUUAUCUCAGCUUCCAUACCUACAAAGGGGACAUGAUUGAUGUCUACCCCAGAGAGUGGUUUUAAGAAUUAAACAAAAAGACAUGUGUGAAA
rnacentral:lncRNA from 1 species